GAAAUUAAAUAAUUAUUUUAAAAUAGCACUGCUGUCCUUUCAAGCACUUUCAGUUAUUACCACUUAUUUUGACUGACUUGUUUGUUUAAUUUGCAGCUUCUGUGCAUCUUCUGUGCAGUCUGGUCAGUCUGUGGAAACUGCCAGGUUACUUCUGUUUCUUCAUCUGCUCCAAGGGAGGUGUUUCUGAGUCAGCAAAGGGAACCCAGCACAUUUUCCAGCUUCUAGGAGGGAAGGCUCAGGAGAAAGACAGGCAACCACUGAUGAGCCAGUAACAGCAAACAGAAAGGGGGAAGAGCCAAGUGGAGCAGCUUGGAGGGAAGGCCCAGGUGGACACCAGGGGGAAGAGCUGAGCGCUCUCACUCUGGCAGUGGGGUCUACGCUGGAGGCAUUAUGUCAUGAGAAAUAUCAGAGAUAAGAAGUCCUGAAAAACCAUAAUUUAUGUGCAAGCUGACAUGUUUCAACAGCAUGGACAGAGAUGAAAAGGGUGUGGGGUUUUUUGGGGUUUUUUUGUUGUUGUUGUUGUGUUGGCAUUUAGGGUUAUUAUUUUUUAAAAUUUUAAACAGAAUUUGGAAACAGAUGAGUGCUUAACCUCUUGAGACCAAACAUGUUAAUGUGAAGGAGCAAACUUGUGUGUUUGUUGCCCAUUUCCUGACUGCAAGCCAAAAAUAUUUUGACAUCACUAGUUAAAGUUUGAUAAAAGGUAAUUGUUGGCAUAGAAACACCCAAGAUGUUUGCCAUAUUGGCUGCCUUUCAGUCCAUCCCUCUGAAUAUUGCAGUGCUUUCCAUUCAGACAUUUGAGACCAUUUCAAGACUGCUUAAAGCAACCUGUCAAAGUUUCCUGCCGCUGUAUGGGCACUGGCUCCAUCAAUCCCAGAAUAUUUAUUGCUGGGGCUGUCAUUUUCUUCUUAGAAAAAUAAUUCAAUACUCAGACUGUAUCUUCUGCACACAUUCAAGUGAGAAAAGAAAUAAAAAAGGGGGAAAAACGAAAGAAAGUCUUGCAAUAGUUCAUUUUCAGCUGGUGUUUUGUGUUUGUGCAUGUUGCAGCAGCUGUAGACUCUGAACAGUGGAGUGACUCUUGAUUUAGUCUGGGACAGGAUUUUCCUCAUUCUCCCACUGCUUCCUGAGCUCAGCAUGUCCCAAUGUUGUUUGGGAGAGAUACAGAGUCAGCUGGCUGCUUUUCCAGGCACCAUUACUCUCCCCAUGCCUCUCCCUGCAGACAGCAACUUCUGUGUGAUAAGGCUAAGUUUUCAGCUCUGAACAUUCAUCAAAACACACCAUUCCUCUAGUAAGAGCAUUAAACUGAGAUCUCUGAUGCAUGGCCAAUUUGUCUCCUGCACAAUGUUCCUCUCAGUUUGCAGCUUUAAUGCAGCAGGGUUGGAAAUAAUCAGGCUUUGAACCUGGACUGUGUGGCUGAGUGCACAGAGCAGGAAGCAGAAGGUUUGACAAUUGCAUCAUUAUCUGUGCCAUGCAGGCAGAGCAGCCCACCAGAGAGCUCUGUGUCACAAAUGUAGUGGUGGAAACAGGAGUCAGUCCUCUCUCUCCCCAUCGAGAAUUCAGGGCAGUGGACUGGACAACAGCAUGUUCAGGGCUGCAUUGUUCAGCUUCUGAGUUUUUUUGGGGUUUUUUUUUGGUUUUCUUUUUUAUUUUUUUCUGCCUUUGUAACUUAUCCCUCCCUCUUCUCUACAGCAUCCUCGAGGCUGAUGUGCUGCUGGUAGAACCAGACACUCAUAUUCAUCCCAAAUCUAUUUUGCUUUUUUUGCCAGCUCUGUUUCCCAGUUCAAACUGGCCAGAGGAGCAGUGAUUCUAACCAGGCCAAGGUGCAUGUUAGGAAGUGAGAACAGGAGACUGUGAGCUCUUACCAGCAACAAGAAAAUGCUGCAGACAGCUUAGCAGCCAUCAGGACUGGAGAUGGAUAGGGGCAGAAUGCUGUACUAACUGUGUGAAGAAAUAGUGCAGCAGCAGGGAACAGUCAAAGAGGAGGAAAUACCAAGUGACUUCUUUGGUAAUGAUACCCACUGCUUUAAAGCAACAGCCAUUGUACCCCUGGAUUGUGGUGCUGCUUCUUUGAAAAAUGAGCAUGUUCAGUAUUUAUUCUUUUUUACCUCUCCUAAAGCCUUCUCUUCCUUCUUCUUCACUCCUCCUUGUACUCACUUCAGGGGUGGUGCCAAAAACAAGUGUCUGCUCUGCAGCAUGGAGCUUAGUUUGCUCACUUCAGCUUUAAAACUCUUUGCUUUUCUGUUCACAAACACUUCUUUGUCAUCUGAUCCCUGCCCGCCAGCCUUUUUUAUUUUUAAUAUAUUUCAUACUUUUUGUUGUUGUACCUUGUAACUUCUUCCUAUUCUUCAUCUGCCUUUUCCAAUUUCUUCCUUUUUUGUUUUAACUCAAGAGUUUGUAUUUAUAAUUUUUUCAUGGUACUAUUGAAAUAUGGCUAAACGUGUCUUCUUGAACUUGGCUUUCCUAAUGGACUGACUUUCCCCUCUGAAACAUUAGUCUUGCAGGAUGAUUUUUGUGAGCUGGCUGCCCACACAAGUCUGCUGCCAUGUGGGCUGUAGAGUCAGCUUGUCUGAAGCCUUUCUCAGUAAUUACCAGUUAAUAAAAGUUAACUGCCCCAUAAAACCACAUGGAUGAACCAUGCUAUUGCUGGCUUGCCCUACUCAGCCAUCCUCUUCCUGUAUGCUAGAUCUUUUGGACAGGAGAAAGGACUACCCAGGGUCCCUUGUGGCUCUCUUCUCUGUGUUUCUGAUAACUGGUGACCUGGCUACGGGCUGCCAAGCCCGUAGAGAGAAGCACAUCUCAAACUAGGAGCCUGAAGCAGUGAAUCUAAGAAGUUCCUAUUUUAUAUGUCAGGAGGGGGAAGAAAAGAAGUUAAGGCACUCCAAAGUUAUUCUCCAAUGCUUAACUGUUUUCUAGACACCUUGAGAAAUGUUUCAGAGUAAUUCUUCAAAGCUUAUCUAUUUCAGCACUAAAUUAGCUGCUGCAGAGUGAAGGUGUCUCAC